AUUGCUCUAGUCAAGUAGGGGCAAGAUCAGUGGAGUAGGAGCAGUUCAGCUUAACAACGUUAGGAACUGAACUUCCCGUUGGGAGAGGAGGGUAGGUCCUUAGCAAGCUCACUUGAGGCUAAACUUUUCCCAUCCCUCUGCUAAUGCCCUCUUAAAUUCAUCAUUUUCACUCUUCCAAAUACAUAGGUAGUGUUUCCUCCGUUUCUUUGAAAUUUCAAGUGUUAAACCAUGAGUUGUACAUCAUACUUUUAAACUCUGGUGUUACACUUGGCAACCAAUUGAACUCUUGUUUUCGGAAAAUACUUGGAAGUUGCCAAGGCAGUUCCUAAAGGAGGAAAAUUAUACUCCCACUCCCCUUUUUGUUUUGGUUGGAAAUGUUGACACAUGGAAGGAGGAGGCGGGUGCGGAGAAGUGGCGGUGGAGUGGGGGCUGGCGGAGAAACCCCUGAGCCUGAAGGGUUGAACUGACCGUCUGAAACCCGAGAUCCCUGCCUAAAUUUUGAGAAGAAGAAAAAAGCUACAAAAGUAAACAGACUCCCCUCCUCCCCCUCCCCUGAAAUGUCUUCAUAUCUGUGGCCAAAUGUGAAAAUGCGCCGCUUUGCAUAAACAAAAUCCGGCCCGGAUCGCUCAGGCAGCGACUGCCUUGUCAAGUUUCUGCCCGCCGCCCAUGACUUAAAUGACCCUGAAAGGAGUAAGUGAAUGGAUCGGCCUAAAGCCCCAUUCUAAAAUAUUCAUUUACUAGCUUUUACACGGCUUUAAUAGACUCCCAUAGAGAUGGGUUUAUGAAAGGGGUCGUGAGGGGUGGGGUGGGGUGAGCGGGAAGGAGAGAAAAGAGGCGGAUUCUUGUAGCAUUUUCCAUCUGUCUCUCCAUCCAGCCUCUGCCGCCGCUCCCCCCACCCCGCCCGCCCGCCCGCCCGGGCCACAAGCCCUGAGCGGAGUUUGUUGAUGUUGUUCCUUGAAAGGAGUCCUGCCCUCCCUGCAGGGCCAGCGAGCGGUCUCGCGUCUCCCUCUGGCCCACAUUUGCUUUUGAAAAGCGAUCCCCUGUCAGACACUUAGUCGUCCCUUUUCAUGUGUGAGUCCCCACAAAAGAGACUUACAAGGCAGGACGUGGAAAGCGGGGAGAAGAGAAUGAGGCAAAAUGAAUCUAUUUUCCAGAUUGCUGAGCACAUGGUUACAAAUCGAAGGAGCUUUGUAGCUCUUUCUACUCUCCUCCGCCACCUCCGCGACGCGUCAUCUUCUCCCCCCGCAGCUGCGACCCUGCGCUUCUGUCCAAAUUGUUAAAACUGCUGUGUAAACCUGGGCGGCAAAAAGGGUGGCCUACCCGUUUCCAGCGGCAAGCUUUGAUGACGUUAGGAUAUAUUUUCUGUUGGGUAAACAGCUUCCGCGCUCUCGCUUUUUCUGCAUAGGCUUCGGGUUGUAAAUAAAGAGUGCGUGGCCGUGACUGCGUGGUUGGGGGGCGGUCUGAGCGCGAAGUUGUCCGCACAGUGCGCCUUUUCACAAGGCGAAAGGGGAAUAUUUCCAUCAUUAGGCCCUGAGAUGCAAACAGCUGGCUGCAAAGAUGCAGAUAGGAUUGAAUCUGAUUCAUUAGCCACUUGAAAUCAAUUUCUGGGUCCAAUGUUCAGAUAUUUAUUGCGGAUUAGGCAAAGAAAAGGGGGGAGGGAGUGGGGGACGGGUAACAAACUAACAAGGGCCGCGCGUGUGGGCCUGAAGCGCUCGGUUUUAUGCAGAUGGUCGGCCGGAUCAAACUCCCUAGGUCAGGUCAACUGCGAAGAAAAUCCCAUUGAUUUCAAUGGAGCUUACUCCAUCUCAUAGGAGGCUUGCGGGAACGCUUGGAAACGAACCCCACGGAAAUGCGCCCCUGGUUUGCCGCUCAGUGUGUGCCUCGGGUUACAUAGUGUAGCCGCCCCGCAACGGUGGUUUGUUUGGAUCAUCUCUUCCAAGCUACCGGCGCCCCUGAAAAGCGUCUAUUUCCGUGUGGAGAGAAGUCGGCAAAUCCGUGUCAAAUCUUUCCUCCGUGGGACUGAAAUCUCGAAGGACUCCCGAGCAGUUCCGCGUAUUUCUCAGGGCGGAAUCCCGCGGCGUAAAAAUGCCUGGCCUCUUUCCCGCGGCUACGACAUUAAACCGAACUUUGCACAGUCCUCCUCUCUGUUAAGGCAGGACCGAGGCGCAGAGUUCAGAGGUUAAAGGUUAUAAUGCGUAAGCAGCUUAUUCCAGAGCUGGAGCCUCCAGUAGAACAAUCGCAAAGUAAGAAGCCCGAGGGGCUGACUGCAGCAGCAGCAGCAGCAGCAGCAGCCCUGGCCUGCAUCUGUUGCCUCUUGCCCUGGCAGGAGUGCGGCGCCAGGGAGAGCGUGUGAGUCCUUCUCCCUUGCAAUGCGGUGGAUCUGGAGUCACAAAGGAGCCCAGGCUGGCUCCUCUCGCUCGCCCUCAUCCCCUAAGAUCAGGUGAUGCUGUUUGCUUUAGGGGAGCUGUUAGGUCGCUUUCUUUCCUCUUCUCCAGUCCGUCCAAGUUUCCCCCUUGGUUGAUGAGAGAAGGCCAGGUGUGAGGAUGGCGUGGGAAAAAGGCAUGUCCGUCCUUUGGACCACGAGGCUCCUUAAUCUCUAACUGUCGACCUUCGCCUGGGUUUACGUGGUCUGAAUGGCGGAAAAGCUGGACUAAGAAGGUAGCAGCGCAAGGAAGCAGUCAAAGGGCCUGCAACUCAGACUCCAAACGACAGACACUCACUCUUACCCAAAUUGUUCAGAUGUUAGUAGAGAAGCGAGUGUGGGAAGGGCGAGACCUUUGUUUUCUCCCUUAGCAGGAAGCACAAGCUUUUUGGAGAGUUGCGGCAGGAAAAGAAUUCAAUAAUAAUCAUUUAAAUAUCGUAACUGCUCUAACACACAAGCACUAAAACUACGAAAUUCAUCCCCUCAGAAACUCGAUCACUAAACUUUCUUUAGAGUUCCGGAAUGCAGUUGAGAAUAUUUAAGAUUAUUUGUCUUGUUGAAACAAAUCCAGUUUGCGUUAAUGGUCUACUUCGGAGUAAACAAGUCAAACAUCAAAGCCUAACAUACCGUCGAAAUCGAUGGCGUUAAUUCCGGGGUGGGGAAUCGGUGGCCCUCCUGAAGCCGCUCGACUCCAAUUCCCAUCAGCCUCAGCUGGUUAGGGAUGAUGGGAGCUGGGAGGCCGAUAACAUCUAAACAGCCUCAGGUUCCCCUGCGCUUGGUUAAUGCUAAAUAAAUGUGCAUCUUUUUAA